GACUAACGCUGGCGGCGUGCCUAACACAUGCAAGUCGAACGGUAACAUGUCUGUAGCAAUACAGAUGAUGGCGAGUGGCGGACGGGUGAGUAAUACGCAAAUCAUCUUCCUCUUUGACGGGGACAACCUAGGGAAACUUGGGCUAAUACCCGAUAAGAUCAGCGAGACCCAUGUCUUGUUGAUGAAAUCACUUAGAUGGCAGAGAGCUGAGUUUGCGCCUGAUUAGCUAGUUGGCGGAGUAAAAGCCCACCAAGGCGAUGAUCAGUAGCUGGUCUGAGAGGACGGACAGCCACACUGGAACUGAGACACGGUCCAGACUCCUACGGGAGGCAGCAGUGAGGAAUUUUGCUCAAUGGGCGAAAGCCUGAAGCAGCGACGCCGCGUGAAUGAUGAAGUCUUUCGGGAUGUAAAGUUCUGUCAGCAGGGACAAUAAUGAUGGUACCUGCAGAGGAAGCG
rnacentral:rRNA from 1 species